AGAUUCAGAUGGUGGCAGGACCUGCAGAAGCAGCGAGGGUGACAGCUUUGAGUAGUGGCCUCAUGACGGCCUACCUGAAUAUGUGUUCGGUUACUCACCCACUCGUUCAGUGGCGUGCCCGUGAGUUCCCUCGCCACAUGAAGGCACUGCGUUUGGCCUCUGAAGAACAGAGACGUAAUCGUUGUUUGGGGAGUUCUGGGCAUUUACUAGAGAGUAAUGUUUCUGUUUAACUGAAUCAGAUAGAAUGUUCAGGGAGUAAGGCUGUGCUCGCCAGUCUCCGUACUCCGCUCUGAAGCCGUCCUUUUCAUCUGGGCUUUGUUGUGGUUUUCAUCCUCGAUGAUAAUUACGGAUCUUGAAUUCAGCAGCGGAAACCCAGGGAAGAAGCAGACGCUAACGCACAACUGCUAUUUCUGCAACAUUUUUGUUUUCUGCCCACAUGCAUGCCUAGUGAAACUCUGGCCUCUGGUCAGGGUGAAGAGGCAUUUAUUUGUGUGCGAGGGGAAGGAGGGUGCGUUCAAAUGUUAAACCCCUGAAGUCUGUGUAAUUAUCUAGAGAAAAACUUGGUUUUAUGUCCUAGGGUAGAGCUGGAAGUCUGACCUCUAAAAUGUGAAGCAUUUUCUGUCUUCACUCCUCUCCCAUCAUCAGGCAGAGGGACCUCAGCAGGGUCUCCAGCUUUGAUGCUCGAUUUAUGUAGACACCCCUGUGUACUGAGCUCCUACUGUGUGCCACAUAUUAUUAGACUAGGGUUUUUCAGACCUUAUUCCACUAUCACCUUACAAACUUCUUAUGAACUCUGAAGAAGAAAGUGAAGAUCAGAGGGAUUAUGGAAAGCUGACCAGAAGAAUGGAAGAAUUUGGAACAAAAGGGAUAAAUCCACCCGCAAGCCUGCCACCUCAACUCAAGUCUCGCCCGCGGGGAAUGCUGCCCCCAGCCCUCCGCCGCCACAUCCAAGGCCCUAGCUGGCUGCCGCCCCGGUGUGCGCACACUUCCACAUCCUCCCUUUCCUUCUGGGGACGGGCAUCUUUCUCUUCUGCUGCCCACCUGGAGCCUAGCAGUUUAAUAACUGCUGAACAGUCUCCUGCAGGAAUGUAUCUCCACUGUGGAAAGGUAACGAGCAAAGCAAUUUGGUUUCAAGUUGGAAGGCCAUGAGCAUUCGUCCCUGUGACUAGAUUUUGGGUGAUGAGCCCCCCUUCCUGAACCCUGUCCUUCUGAAGAAUUCGUUUGGGGGUCCCGAGGAAUUUGUUUCUUACAUCUGGGAAUUCAAUUCAGGGACUUGAUCUUGGGUUUUGGUUUGGCGAGCAGGAAAGGAGAAAUAGAAAAGGCAUUGUUACCGCCGGUGCCGUCUCCACUGGUGAUGUCUCCUCCUUGAAUCAUGAAAUCUUUGAUGACACGAUGAAAUCUGCUUCCCUUAUAGCUGUAUCCUUUCUAAAGAGAUUAUGGCAAUUGAAUAUAUGAGUAGAGAGAACCCAUACUGCAAGAUGAACCCCAGUAUUAAUCUGGACGUGACAAAUGAGAAAAUGACACGGACUAGCUACAGAAUUAGUAAAUCCUCUGCAAGGAUUUACUGGUAGAAAUGCAUCACUGACGGACCCCAAAUAAAGAAAGAAGUCAACCACGGAAGUAGAGCAGUACUUCCAUGUGAAUGGAAGUGAAAUGAGAGCAAUCUGUAUUUUCACAUGCUGUUGGUUCCUCUCAAUUUCUAGAACCCCAAGGACACUGAGCGACCAAAGAGCGAAAUUUUGUAGGAAAAUAAAAUAUUGUAAGAUGUCUCGGGCUCAUCGGACCUGCUAAAUCAACACUUAUUUUCCCAGAAGACAUCUUUCCAUGGGGCUUACACAAAGGAAGACUCCCUUUUGUGCUAAGGGAUCGAAAACUGAGACAUACCUCCCCUGUUGCCAGAGCGACAAAAUUUUCCACGGUCUUAGGCACAACCUUUCCAAAGAGGCCAAUCACAAUUCUGCCAACAUCUUUGUCUCCGAUCCUCACAUCGAAGAAGACCUGCGAGUGGGUGAAUGGCAGAGCAGAGGGUUACGGCGGGGAGCGCCACGACCACAGGGGAAGUGAAAGGUAAAAUCUGAGAAUGCAUUCGGGGUGAAAGCCCUGUGCACCCGCCCCAGCAGCUUAUAAAGGAGCUCGAAAUCCAUCAUGUGGGUGCUUUCCACCUGUAAAAAUGCUCGUUCCACAAACAUAUAGUUGGCACCUCCUCUGGGCCAGGCACCAGGUUUGAAGUUUGACCCGGCAUGGCAUGCCAGAAGCAGCCAGUGAGGCCUCUGCAAACUCCAGGACCCCCGGCACGGCCCCCUGGGGCGCUGCGGCUACCUCCUGGUUGCCAGCUUUGUGCUCCUCUGAAAGGUGAUGCUCUGGAUCCUGGCGGCAGAGAACCACUGCUGAGGCAAGAAGUACUUUCACCAUCCAGAUUUUUUUUUUGGGGGGGGGGGAGGACUUCAAACAGUGUCCAGUUCCCAGGGCACUCUCCGUAGACCUCUGCUGUCAAGGGAACUCAAGACAUCAAGAGGCACAGCGAGUCCUCCGAAAGGCCUGCCCCUCACUUCGGAGCCCUGGAAGGCACCAGGUCCCCAGCCUGGUGCAGACCACCGACAAAGCCAUUUACCCUGCAACCUCAGAAGCCCCACUCAGCCCUCAUGCUCCCCAAAGUCAUACGGGGAUACUGUGUUAUUCUCCCUGCGGCACAUUUUAGAAUAGAUGAAAGAAGACACGUACCCAGAAGUGAGUGGGGGUCACUUUUUGUGCAGAUGAACCUCACAAGUUUGCUUGAACUAUUUUUUUCAAAAAACUGUUUCAUCCAAAACGAAAUUUAUCUACGUCUUGCUUCACCAAUCACCAUGUUAGGAUGAGUAGAAUGCUUGAAAAGGCUACGGAGUCGAAGGGCAUUCUUUAGCGAGUUUAGAUUAUAGGAACCAAUUUACUAUUUGAAAGGGGGGGAAAAAGACAUUCAAGAGAUGACUUUAAAAAAUAUAAGAAGGGUUGUCAAAGAAAAAAGAUGUCUUACAGUUGAGAAAAAUCAUGAAGUAAAGACUGUCAAGCUUUAGUUCAAGACAAGAGCUUCUGCCAAUACAUCAGCACGUCUGUCAUGGGGUGAUGUGAUAUUUAGUGUUCCAUGUGGCAUUUUAGAAUUUUCACAUGGCCACAGCAACCAAAAUUGGAUUAUUAUUUAUACGGCAGAACUUUACAGAAUGCAUAGAAGACUGUGCCCUUGAGAUGAGCAGGGUGCUUGAGAAGAACAACAGCAUGGCUCGGGGACAGGAAGCAGCAGGAACAAACCAGGAGCCUGGUGGCGCAGAGCUGGUGUCACAGAGAAGCAGUUUCUCCAAAGGGAUUCCCAAGCCAAGGAGUGAAUUCAGUAACAGGCAAAAGGGAAGCAGCACCAGGAGAAGAAUCAAGGACAGAAUCUUAAAGGAACACCAUGCAAGACACUAGAAAAGCCUGCCAGACUUUGAAAAUACAGAUGAGAAAAUAAAGCCGGUGUGUGUUUAGACAGCAAGGAGCAUGUAAAGCGUGGGAGAGUAGCAGGAGAAGAGGAAGAAAAGGAGCCUGUUAUCCCACAAAACUCUUCAAUAAAAAUCUGCCUGGCUGA